AUCUGAAACCUCCCGGCUGCAAAGAUAAUUACAUGGGCUGGCUCUGAUCCGGGUACCUUGGGUCAGGGCGAGAAAAUAGGGUGCUGGCGCCCGGUUUAGCGUGUGACUGCGCGACUCCGGGAGUGAGAUCCAAAUCAGAUCACUAAACAUGUAGAACUGCGCGAAGAAGGCUUGCGGACGGGGGUUCAAAUCCCCCCAGCUCCACCA
rnacentral:tmRNA from 1 species